rnacentral:rRNA from 1 species
GAUGAACGCUGGCGGCGUGCCUAAUACAUGCAAGUCGAGCGAACGGACGAGAACUUUCCUUCUCUGAUGUUUGCCGCACGGGUGAGUGUCACGUGUGGAUAAUGCCCCGAAAAGACUGGGAAAACUUGGGGACACCGUCGAUUAUCCCGUAUAAUAAUUUGUAGCAUAUGGUUCAAAAGUGAAAUACCGUUUUGUUGUUACCUAUAGGUCGAUCCGCGUUGUAUUUGCUUGUUGGUAUAGCAACGCCUUACCACGGCAACGAUGCAUAGCCGACCUGGGCGGGGGAUCGCCCACCUGGGAACGGAGACGCGCUCCGAACUCCUACGGGAGGCAGCAGUGGGGAACUUUCGGCAAUGGGCGAAAUCCUGACGGAGCAACGCCGCGUGGGUGAUAAAGGUCUCCGGUUCGUAAAACUCUGUUAUAAGGGAAGAACAUAUGUGGAAGGAAAUGUGCACAUCGUGACGGUACCUAAUCAGAAAGCCACGGCUAACUACGUG